GCCUCUGUAGCUCAGUUGGUUAGAGCACUGCACCGGAAUCGCAGACCCGCAGGUUCGAAUCCUGCCAGGGACC